AGGAUGAACGCUGGCGGCGUGCCUAACACAUGCAAGUCGAACGUCCUGUCUCGCAAGAGGCAGGGAGUGGCGGACGGGUGAGUACCACGUGGGUCAUCUACCGUGAGGUGAGGAAUACCGGCGAGAAAUCGCCGACAAGACCGCAUAGGCUCGAUGCAAGUCGAGCAAAGCUCUUUCGAGAGAGGGAGCGCCACACGAGGAGCCUGCGCCCGAUUAGCUAGCUGGUGGAGUAACGGUUCACCAGGGCGACGAUCGGUAGCUGGUCUGAGAGGACGAUCAGCCACACUGGGAUUGAGAACGGCCCAGACUCCUACGGGGGGCAGCAGUGAGGAAUUUUCGUCAAUGGGGGCAACCCUGAACGAGCAACGCCGCGUGCAGGAAGAGGUUUUCGGAUCGUAAACUGCUUUUCUCGGGGUAAGAGAACGGACGGUACCCGAGGAAUCAGCCCGGCUAACUACGCGCCAGCAGCCGCGGU
rnacentral:rRNA from 1 species